UCUUGGAUUAUUGAAGACUAACUACUGCGAAAGCAUUUGCCAAGGAUGUUUUCCCNUNUAAGAACGAAAGUUAGGGGAUCGAAGACGAUCAGAUACCCCUUNUANAUCUUAACCAUAAACUAUGCCGACUAGGGAUCGGAUGAUGUUAAUUUUUUAAUGACUCA
rnacentral:rRNA from 1 species